rnacentral:rRNA from 1 species
AGCGCAGGUGGUUUAUUAAGUCUGGUGUAAAAGGCAGUGGCUCAACCAUUGUAUGCAUUGGAAACUGGUAGACUUGAGUGCAGGAGAGGAGAGUGGAAUUCCAUGUGUAGCGGUGAAAUGCGUAGAUAUAUGGAGGAACACCGGUGGCGAAAGCGGCUCUCUGGCCUGUAACUGACACUGAGGCUCGAAAGCGUGGGAGCAAACA